rnacentral:rRNA from 1 species
GUAGGGAAUAUUGGACAAUGGGCGAAAGCCUGAUCCAGCCAUGCCGCGUGAUAGAUGAAGGCCCUCUGGGUUGUAAAUAUCUUUUAUCUGGGAAGAAACUCCUCUAUUCUUAGAGGCCUGACGGUACCAGAGGAAUAAGCACCGGCUAACUCCGUGCCAGCAGCCGCGGUAAUACGGAGGGUGCAAGCGUUAUCCGGAUUCACUGGGUUUAAAGGGUGCGUAGGCGGGUUGAUAAGUCAGUGGUGAAAGCUCCGGGCUUAAAUUGGAAACUGCCAUUGAUACUGGCAGUCUUGAAUGUCGUAGAGGUAAGCGGAAUGUUGCAUGUAGCGGUGAAAUGCUUAGAUAUGUUACAGAACACCAAUUGCGAAGGCAGCUUACUAUGCGAUAAUUGACGCUGAGGCACGAAAGCGUGGGGAGCAAACAGGAUUAGAAACCCGGGUAGUCC